rnacentral:rRNA from 1 species
CAAAUCAGGUAGGACUACCCGCUGAACUUAAGCAUAUCAAUAAGCGGAGGAAAAGAAACUAACAAGGAUUCCCCUAGUAACUGCGAGUGAAGCGGGAAAAGCUCAAAUUUAAAAUCUGGCGGUCUUCGGCCGUCCGAGUUGUAAUCUGGAGAAGCGUUUUCCGCGCCGGACCGUGUACAAGUCUCUUGGAACAGAGCGUCAUAGAGGGUGAGAAUCCCGUCUUUGACACGGACUACCGGUGCUAUGUGAUGCGCUCUCGAUGAGUCGAGUUGUUUGGGAAUGCAGCUCAAAAUGGGUGGUAAAUUCCAUCUAAAGCUAAAUAUUGGCGAGAGACCGAUAGCGAACAAGUACCGUGAGGGAAAGAUGAAAAGCACUUUGGAAAGAGAGUUAAACAGUACGUGAAAUUGCUGAAAGGGAAACGAUUGAAGUCAGUCGCGUGUGCUAGAACUCAGCCUUGCUUUUGCUUGGUGCAUUUUCUAGUGUACGGGCCAGCAUCAGUUUUGGCCGCCGGAAAAAGGCCUUGGGAAUGUGGCACCUUCGGGUGUGUUAUAGCCCUUGGUUGUAUACGGUGGCUGGGACUGAGGAACAUAGCAUGCCUUUACGGCGGGGCUUCGGCCACCUUCAUGCUUUGGAUGCUGGCGUAAUGGCUUUAAACGACCCGUCUUGAAACACGGACCAAGGAGUCUAACAUGCCUGCGAGUGUUUGGGUGGAAAACCCGAG